rnacentral:tRNA from 1 species
UCCCUGGUGGCUUAGUGGUAAAGAACUUGCCUGCCAAUGCAGGAGAUGCAGGUUCAAUUCCUGGUCCAGGAG